rnacentral:ncRNA from 1 species
UAAGUAUUUGAUCAUGGUACUUAAUAUAUAUAUAUAUAUAUAAAUUUAUACGAAUGUUGUUUUAGAUUUCUAUUUUAGUAGUAUAUAAUUUUAAUUAUUAAUUAAUUUUAGAAUUAGUAAUAUAUUUUAACAUUUGCAAAUUUUGUGCCAGCAGCAGCGGUUAUACAAAAGAUGUAGUAUAUAUUUGUUAGUUUUAAUUAAUAGAAAAAUUUUUAAAUUAUAAUUUGAAUUUAUUAGGUGAAAUUUUAAUUUAAAAUUAAUUUAUUUAUUUAUUUAUGAGGUUAAGAAAUUUUUAUUUAAACUAGGAUUAGAUACCCUAUUAUUUUAAACGUAAAUUAUAAAACUAAGUGAUUAAUAGUUAAGUUCUUUAAAGCUAAAUGAUUUGGCGGUAUUUUAAACUUUUCAGAGGAACCUGUUCUAUAAUCGAUAAUCCACGAUUGAAUUAACUUAAAUUAGAAAUUUUUAUAUCGUCGUUAUUAAAUAUUUUAUAAGAAUAUAAUAUUUAAAAUUUUUAAUUUGAAAAUAAAUCAGAUCAAGGUGAAGUUUAUAUUUAAGAAGAGAUGGGUUACAGUAAAUUAUAUUUAUGGAUUACUAAUUUGAAAAAUUUAAUGAAAUUGGAUUUGAAAGUAAUUAGUUACACUUUUUUCUAAUGAUUAAGCACUAAAAUAUGUACAUAUUGCCCGUCGCUUUCAUCUAAAUUGAAAUAAGUCGUAACAUAGUAGUUUUACUGGAAAGUGAAUCUAGAAAGAA